CUUAAAAGGAAACUCUGAUCGUGGUGGCUUAACAGAUUGUGGAUCUUGGGAAGUGUGCAGCCAUCGAACAGAAUCAAAACUCAGCAGAUACCACACCUAACCACCUGGCAUUUUAGAAAUUUCAUAUCGCAAGAAGGGUGCAGUAAGCCUUAUCUGGGUGACAGAGAAAAGGGAACAGUCUUCAGACAGGCAGCUACUGCGACACUGCUUUCUCAGAUGUACUGAUCAUUACUGGGGAACUCAAACCUUAGAAGUAGGAGAAAGAAGAACAUAAAAAUACCAAAGAGACACCCCAUGCCCUGUAUGGAGGAUCUGGAACAUGUUGGAAAAAUCCAUAUUCACUCUCACCUAUCAUCACUCAUGGAGUUUCAGACCCUACGUUUUUGAUCAUCACUUCUGAGAACUGGGUUGAGGCUUCAGUUGCUGUUUGGACUCUUCAUGCUGUUCAAGAGAGCUUCUGCUGACAGAAUGAGUCCAGCAUAACGAGAAAGUUGCACAAAAAUACUGUGUGAG
rnacentral:lncRNA from 1 species